rnacentral:misc_RNA from 1 species
GGGGCUGGCGUUGUAGGACGGGAUGGGGCUCGGGUAGGAAGACGACUGAGGGCUCGGGUGGUACGAGGAGCAGGGGCUGGGGGCGGCGCUGCCGAUGCAGACGCCGACAGCGCCUCCUGCGGCGGAGGAUUCAGGAGGCUUGAAUCCCUUGCGGUAGGUGGUGCCGUCGGGCUCGACGAUCCAGCCGGCGUCGGCGCAGAGGGCCUUGAGGACCUCGUUGUUGUCGCAGUGCUUGGGGAGCUUGAAGUUGCCGUGGGCGCGAAGGCCGGAGAAGAUCUUGGCGGCGAUGGCGCGACGGCGGCGUUCGCGCUUCUUGUUGUUUUCUCGCUCCUUCCAGGUAGGGAGGCGGCCCUCGCCGGAGGUCAUGGCUGGUGGGGGGAGGAG